CAGCCGCCGCGGGAAUACGAAGGGGGCUAGCGUUGCUCGGAAUUACUGGGCGUAAAGGGAGCGUAGGCGGACUGUUUAGUCAGAGGUGAAAGCCCAGGGCUCAACCUUGGAAUUGCCUUUGAUACUGGCAGUCUUGAGUACGGAAGAGGUAUGUGGAACUCCGAGUGUAGAGGUGAAAUUCGUAGAUAUUCGGAAGAACACCAGUGGCGAAGGCGACAUACUGGUCCGUUACUGACGCUGAGGCUCGAAAGCGUGGGGAGCAAACAGGAUUAGAGACCCGAGUAGUCCCUGUCUCUUAUAA
rnacentral:rRNA from 1 species